rnacentral:rRNA from 1 species
AUUGAACGCUGGCGGCAUGCUUUACACAUGCAAGUCGGACGGCAGCGCGGGCUUCGGCCUGGCGGCGAGUGGCGAACGGGUGAGUAAUACAUCGGAACGUGCCCAGUAGUGGGGGAUAGCUCGGCGAAAGCCGGAUUAAUACCGCAUACGACCUGAGGGUGAAAGCGGGGGACUUUAGGGCCUCGCGCUAUUGGAGCGGCCGAUGGCAGAUUAGCUAGUUGGUGGGGUAAAGGCCUACCAAGGCGACGAUCUGUAGCUGGUCUGAGGGGACGACCAGCCACACUGGGACUGAGACACGGCCCAGACUCCUACGGGAGGCAGCAGUGGGGAAUUUUGGACAAUGGGCGCAAGCCUGAUCCAGCAAUGCCGCGUGUGUGAUGAAGGCCUUCGGGUUGUAAAGCACUUUUGGCAGGAACGAAAAGUGCCGUGCUAAUACCACGGUACGAUGACGGUACCUGCAGAAUAAGCACCGGCUAACUACGUG